rnacentral:rRNA from 1 species
CCUACGGGUGACAGCAGUGAGGAAUAUUGGUCAAUGGGCGUAAGCCUGAACCAGCCAAGUCGCGUGAGGGAUGAAGGUUCUAUGGAUCGUAAACCUCUUUUGUCAGGGAACAAAGGCGGGGACGUGUCCCCGGAUGAGUGUACCUGAAGAAAAAGCAUCGGCUAACUCCGUGCCAGCAGCCGCGGUAAUACGGAGGAUGCGAGCGUUAUCCGGAUUUAUUGGGUUGAAAGGGUGCGCAGGCGGUCUGUUAAGUCAGCGGUCAAAGCCCGGGGCUCACCCCCGGCCCGCCGUUGAAACUGGCAGUCUCGAGUUGGAGAGAAGUAUGCGGAAUGCGCGGUGUAGCGGUGAAAUGCAUAGAUAUCGCGCAGAACUCCGAUUGCGAAGGCAGCAUGCCGGCUCCACACUGACGCUGAGGCACGAAAGCGUGGGUAUCGAACAGGAUUAGAUACCCGUGUAGUC